UCUUCCUUGGGAUACAAAAUUAGGUGGGUAGGAUAUGCAUACUAUAAUCUGUUUAUAUCUUUAUCCAGCUUCAAAUCAUGUGAAAUAUUGGAGGAAAACAAAAAUGACAAGGUAAUGUUUACUUACUGUAAAUCUGUAUUGACUCUUGAUACUCAAGAUAGAUCAAGUGUUGUCGGUGGUUCGAGCUACUGUCCUCUUAGAUACUAACGUCGAAAAGCUUUUCUUAAUUCCAGACCCCAACGCUGAUGGUUGUGUGUCGCCAAUCUGGAGAGCGGAUAAUUCACAAGUUAAUGGCUACCCUUUCCCAUUGCCUACUUACAGUUUUAUGGUUUGUCAUCAUACCAAAUGCUUGCACAACAUUUUGCAAGACUGGCAACUCUGCUACGUUAUGUAGUAAUUAACCUAGUUGUAGUCUAUAGUAAUAUUAGGUAGCUAGAUCAAAGUGUCCUAGACAACGCUACGUGCGUGUCCGAGUUUAAGUCUAAACCAGUGUCUUGUACGAGUUGCAAACGAGCCUGUGUCGCGUCGUAUUGGUUGUCGACUCGGCAACACGUUGGACGCGACGAUGUUGUAUCUCUUUAUAUACCAAACCAAAAUAUGAAAACGGUGCAAGCUAUACGCACCAUCAAAUAACAGUUUCACUUUGUUUGUUUGUUUUGUUAGGCAAAGGUUCCGUCGAGUCGAUCGACUCGUUCGUAGUCAGCCGAAGCAAGGACGUAUCACCGCAAGCUAGCUAUAGGAUCCAUCUAGCUGCCUCGUUGCACGUAUGUGAAGCUUCGGGAGGAUUUUGAGGGUCCAAAAGCCAACAAUUAUCUAGAGCCUUGACGAUCUACGAUCUACGAUGACGGACAGCGACGCUGAGUCGAUCAAGUCCGGCAAAGGCAGUUCCAAGGCGAACAAAAACGGUGGCAAGGUGAAGAAGGACGGCAAGUCAGCAACCAGUGGUGGGGGAACGAGCGGCACCAACGUCCAGGCGCAUCGCAACAUCCCCAUCCAGUAUCCGAUGCUCACCGACACCAACUACGGUGUGUGGGCGGUGAAGAUGAAGAUUAUUCUCCGAUCUCUUCGAGUGUGGGAGGCCGUCACGGACGACGGCGUCGACGAGCAGCACGACGAAGCUUCCAUGGCCGCCAUAGC
rnacentral:lncRNA from 1 species